rnacentral:lncRNA from 1 species
UUCAAUUGGAUAACCUCUUGGACCUAUAUAAGUAUGUACAUAGUUUGUUAGAUAGAACACUUUUUUUAUGAAGCAAUUAAAUUUCAUUAAAAAAUAAGACUAUUGUCCAGUUUACAAAAAUAGAGUAUAUAUAGAAAUAAAACAUAAGUAAAAAGAAAUGAGCAAGAAGCUCAUUGACUCUCUCUCAUUAGCUAUGUAAUCUAAUUUUAUAGUAACUAGAUAUGCUCCUCAGGAGGUUGGUCUCUCAUACUUCCAUCAUAAAUGUCUCCAAAGGGUGACAACAACUCUUCUAAGGAGAGACUGAUAUCUUUAAUGACCUCCUUAAUGACUACCUCAGGAAGCCUACUAAUGUGUUGUCUAUAUCUUUUAGUUUUUCCGUUCAUAUAUGCCACGACAAACACUCAAUAGUAUUCCAUAGUAGCCCCCAAGGGGAAGAGUGGUGUGUAAUCUUUAUUUAUAACCAAUAUGUAGCUUUAAUCAUAUUUUGAAAUAGUAGCUAGUCGUUAUAAAAUUCUCUUCAAACUAAUCGAAAUUAAAUAUAUAUUAAGACAUACAUCUGUAUAUUUUCCACGACUUAAAUGUAUAACUAUAGAAUUAGGGAUAGAAAAAUGAAUUUUAUAAAUGUCACUUACAUUUAAUUACCGACAAUUGUCUUGCUUCUUCUUUCGCCCCAAUGACAAACUCGAGAUUCACAAAAACGAGCAAAGCUAAGAGAAAGGAUACAAGAAAAGCUCUACCCAAAAAAGCCAUUGUAGAUAAUUUUACCUCGAUUCCUAAUUUGAUGGCGACUACAAGUGCGCAUUAUAUAUACAUAUUUAUAGAGAAAUUUUAAAAGAUGGCAUGCGUUAUAUGUUUAUCGAUGUCGGCAUGGACAUGGCACUGCAUAGUUAUUGAAAGAAAGAAAGAAAAAAAUAAAAGAUCUAUAUAUUAAUUAUGUAGCAAGGAGUAAAUAAUGAAUAGGAGUACUUCAUGCAUUCUAUAAAAGUAAUUUAAAAUGGCAUUGAAUAUUGUCAAACCCUAAUUCACUACUAAUUAGACUUUAACUUAUUUUAUAUAUAUCCUAAUUGUUAUAUUUAGAAGAAAUUAUCAAACUCUAAUAUUAUUGAAGUGGAUAAUUAAAUCUCUAUUCAUCUUAAUAAAUAUGAAGUAAUAAGAUACUUCGAGUUCGUUAAUAGAGUUAGAAGUAACAUUUGCAUAAAUUCACAUCACUACAAGAAAAUAAGGAAACAGCCACGGCCAACAUCAGUCAACAGCCAGGGGAGUGGCUGUGGCCGUAGAUCUGGUGGCUACUGAUUUUUAGCUACGGAUCGGAAUUGAUUUUGUAAUUAAUUAUCUUAUUAGUACACCUUUGAUUAUUCAUAUGGUAUCAGUUGUGCAAGCAAUCAAUUGAGUUUAACAAUUGAAAACUCUGAGAGGAAUUGCAACUGUGAUUAGUGGGUUCAUAGCUAUAUUUUUCCAAAAUCAGAUGAGCUUGUAUGAACUAACUGAUAUAGUCGAUCUGGAAUGAGAAAUUCCAACGAAAAGGACGAUAGAUUCGAAGGCACUCCAAAUCCAUAGUAUAAGAGAUGGAAAAAAUGAAAUUGGAUUAUAAUAUCAUGAAUCAAGUCAUCUGUAGCAUGUCCAAUUUUUCCCUUGGUGAUCUAUGAGACUUCAACGGCGAGAGUGUGGAAGAAUCUGGAAAAGAAACUGUCGUAUGGAGGUAUACGAGAAAUUGAUUAGGGAUAGAUUGAGGAAUUUUAAGAAAAUUGAAAAAUCGAAUAUGUUCGACUUCGAAUAUGAUCCUUAUCGGAUAAUUUAAUUUGUAAAAAGAGUGGGUGGUGAUACAGUAUCAAGUACACAUAUCACAUUACGUCGGAGGGAGGAGUACUGGUGAUACAAUAUCCCAAACUUGAUCAUCUCACCAGUACCCAGAAAUUCGGAUACGAACCUAAGGAGAAUAGAACGACCUGUAUAGGUUUUGGAAAGGCUCUAGGCCAACUUAUAGACAUGUCGAAUUUUUCAGGACGACUUCCUCAAAUCGAUUUCAGAAAGCCAAUUUGGGAAAGUUGAUCCCAUAAAGUCGAACUGGAGUCAGAUCUGGAUAGUUCAAGUCUUAAUGACCAGAUUACCCCAUAAGAAAUCUUAUAAAUAAAGGGUCAUUUCCAACCAUUAGGGGAGGUUGGAUUCUAGAGAGAAAUUAAGUUCUAGGAGAGUACUUGAAGAGUCCGAGCUGAUUUCCGCGUGGAGUUUUCGGCUUGAAAACGUCACCGAGCACUGACCGAGUUCUACCCUCAUCAGUGGGCAUACACAGCUCGUUUGUGUCCAGAUCGUGAAAACUUUGCAUAUAUUGCAGACACAUUAAUUGGUUGAUUCAUCCUCUCAAGUGGCGAUGGAGGAUAUAGUUGAUGAAGGUUGGUGCCUAGAUUCAGGGGUGUCUCAUCACAUGACACCCUCUCUGGAUAAAUUAUACAAUGCUUAGCCUCUGGUUAUAAUCCUAUUAGUGAAAUCCCUUGCUAGAACCGAGUAGAAAUAAAAAUGAAAUUUCACAACAAUUCCUGUUUGAAUAUUAUAUUUAUAAAAAAGAGAGAUUCUAAAUCGAAUGGACCUGAUUUACUGAACAACGUCUUCGAUCAAUGUGAUCGGAAAACGAUCAGUAAUCGAGACGGAUGCCUGUUGAGAAACAAUGCCUCGACAGAAGUUUCGGAAUGCAGAAUAGACCGAUGUUAAAUUUAACCACGAAUCCAAAUCCCGGAAUCGACGACGUACUCAGUGCUCGCUGGAUCGUCUUUCUCUAAGGAAUCGCAAAUCAAUUUUCACGCUCGACAGACUCUCUGUCGGAGGGAACCCAAACAAAACACUUUAUUUGAAUAAUUUGGGGAAAUUACAAAUAGUGCCCUUUUAUAAGGAGUUACAAUCAGCACGAGUAAAGAAAAGUAAUUGUUUAAAAGUAAAACAAUUUAAACUAAUCGGGUAAUUAUAUACUUACCCGAUUUACAAUUAAGGUAAAACAUUUAAAACUAAUUACUAUUACUAAUCAUAUAAAACGUAGUCAUUGUAUUUUACUUCCUGUUCUUCCGAAUUGGUCACCUUUGAUCUUCCUCCUCUGUUGCAGUUGCUGGUGCUACUGUUAAUUCCUUCUCGAUUGCCUUUGCUGGUCCCUCUGAUUCUUCAUCUUCGAUUCCCUGGUCUUCUUCCUCAGAUUGGUAUGCAAUAUUCUCUGAAUCAAUGUUAUCCUCCAUUGUAGUAUUUAUUUCUAAACUGCUAAUUUGAUCAGUGAUAUCUUUGGUAACUAGUUCAGCAGGCAAUAUCAUACUAUCACAUGCUUCCACUGCGGACGUCCACAGUGGAAGCUCGCUGCAGUUGCCGAAUGGAGGUCCGGAACUGCAGUUCGGGAAUCGCAGUUUCGGAAGAUGCAGGUCGGAAAUCGCAGUUCCGUAAGAUGCAGUUCACGAAUCGCAGUCGCUCGCGAUUCCGUCGUUUCUUGGCUUGAUUUCGCAAAAUCAGUCAUAAAUACGACAUGAAUGUGAUCGCCCACUGCAACCAACUUCAGCUGCGAACGUCCGCAGGUGAAGCUGGCUAUAUAUCAUAAUAAUAAAAUAGACAUUCUUAAAUCUUAUUUUGCUAUUUUACACAUCAAGUUUUCAUUUUCAUUCAACUCAUCUUUAUUCAAUACAUAUAUAUAUAUAAAAGUAGAUGAAAGUUACAACAUGGAUAGGAAACAUAAACAUCUUAUUUCAGAUAACACUCUUCAUAAUAGCAUUCGCAGAAUUCCACAUCAUUAUAAGUACUUUCAUAACAAUCAUUAUAGCAGUUUCCUUCAAUUGGAUAACCUCUUGGACCUAUAUAUAUAAGUAGCUCGUUAGAUAGAACACUUUUCUUACCAUUUACCAAUAUGUAGUUCUAAUCAUAUUUCCAUAUAGUAAAUAGUCGGUAAAAAAAAUAGCUUCAAAAUAAUCUCUGUAUUUCUCCCACCAAAAUUUUGUACUGCUUAAAUGUAUAGCUAUAGAAUUAGUGAUUGAAAAUUGAAAUUUAUAACUAUCACUUAC